rnacentral:rRNA from 1 species
CCUACGGGAGGCAGCAGUGGGGAAUAUUGGGCAAUGGGCGCAAGCCUGACCCAGCAACGCCGCGUGAAGGAAGAAGGCUUUCGGGUUGUAAACUUCUUUUGUUAGGGACGAAGCAAGUGACGGUACCUGACGAAUAAGCCACGGCUAACUACGUGCCAGCAGCCGCGGUAAUACGUAGGUGGCAAGCGUUAUCCGGAUUUAUUGGGUGUAAAGGGCGUGUAGGCGGUAAGGCAAGUAAGAUGUGAAAUCUAUGGGCUCAACCCAUAGCCUGCAUUUUAAACUGUAUUUCUUGAGUGCGGGAGAGGAAAUCGGAAUUCCGGGUGUAGCGGUGAAAUGCGUAGAUAUAAGGAGGAACACCAGUGGCGAAGGCGGAUUGCUGGACAGUAACUGACGCUGAGGCGCGAAAGCGUGGGGAGCAAACAGGAUUAGAUACCCCGGUAGUC